GUGGAACCCAGAUGCCAAGUCAACUGGUUUUAAUGAAGCACCUCCUAAGAUGUUUUCUGAGAUUCUUUGGCUUUGGUGAUGAGUGAGAGCUGUCAGAAUCACAGGUGGGAGGAUGGAGAGAGGAAGGUUAUAUAAAAGAGAACUUAGUCACACCAAGACUGAAAACAGGCAGAAUCAUCCAAGAUCCACUUCUUCUAGACCCUUACUUCUUCUUUAUCAGAAACCGGAGGAGAGAGGCAUGGGGGAGCCUGACAGGAAGUGAGGAUUCUGGGACUUCAAAUACACACAUUAGAAAAAACAAGCAACAUCUGCAAACAGUUCCAUUCUUUCAUCGAAGACACUCUUGCAAAGGCACUUCCUGGACAGUUGCGUGUAACGGAGCAAUCUCCAAGCAGUGGGAAAUCAGAGACACCGAACUGUUAGCACCCUUAAUAUUUGGUUUCCCUUGUAGUUCAGCUGGCAAAGAGCCUGCUUGCAAUGCAGGAGACCCGGGUUCAAUUCCUAGGUUGGGAAGAUCCCCUGGAGAAGGAAAUGGCAACUCACUCCAGUGUUCUUGCCUGGAGAAUCCCAAGGACAGAGGGGCCUGGCGGACUGCAGUCCAUGGGGUCGCAAGAGUUGGACACAACUUAGCGGCUAAACCACAACCACAAUAUUGGUUAAUUCUGCAUCAUGAUUUCAGAAUUGAUUCUGGAAGACUCUUCUGGCUCCUCUACACCCUAGGUGCCUAGGCCAUUGGGUGACCUACUUUAUUUAGAAGGGGAUGGGGGAAAGGACCCUGACAUAGAAGCAGACAAUUGAUGCCUGCCUCGGCAACAUGUAAACAAAAUCCACGCACCUUGCCCUGGGGAUCGCCUUGGUAGUAUCUAGUUUGACAGAAUUUGCCAUUCAGCAUCUCGCGGACCAGGCGCCUCAACCUGCUAGAAAUUCUAGAGGGAAAAAUCACGCCUGAAUGACUGCUGUCUGUGGCCUGUGGAAUCCUAAAUAGAAUGAAGCAGGCCUCCGACAAUCAAUAUUACUGACAUAUUAAUCUCUGUGAAUAAACUGUUGUGCACUUUAAGGCUGUCCCAGUCCUCCCAAAUAAUCUUUUAAAUGCAGUGG
ensembl:lncRNA